CGCUGCAUUUCCAUUCUUUACGCUGCUGGCACCGUUCGCAGCUGCCGCAGUUCGCUUGUUUUGCGCAAUACUUCAGCUCAUUCAGUGCGUUCAGCUCAUUCUCAGUGCCUUUGGUACCAAGCAUCUGACAAGCUCGACACACGGGGCCGGACCUCUACGUGCGACGUUUUGAGCGCCUUGAGUGAGAACAACGAAGACUCAAUCGUGCGACGCGACCUUUCGGACAUGGCCACCCGAAGCUGUGAUGGCGAAGACAAUGGCGCGGCGACGGUUGGCGGCAGCAGCGACGAACCGCGUUAUGUUGAUCGUGGGUGUCAACAGACGGUGCCGUGGGCUGACAAAGCUACGCAGUGCAAGCUGGAUACAUGUGCACGCUAUGACCAAAUGUACAGAGAGCAUGAGACGCGCAUGGAGGGGCUGCGCGUGCUGCAUGACAAAUAUCGUGAGCUGCUCAACAGACCGGCCCGUAAUUUGUCAAAAUAAUCCUGGAGUUCUUCUGGGACGUGACAAUACCAAAGUUAAUAAUUUUCACUUUUCGUUUGUCACUCAAAUAUGGUUCUGAUUUUACUUUUUUUUUGGAGCGCAGUACUGCUCCGGAAACUAGUUUCCCAUGCCAAGUAUAUAUGUCAUGGUAACAUAAGGCGUAUUUGACUUUUAUUCUUCUGAAUAACUGACGCGUGCCUGCUAAAUCUGCUUCAAUACAGGGCGGACUUGCCAUGGAGUGAAUGAAACACUAAAUGUGGAUUGCAGUGAAACACUUGGCGACAGGUCUGCUUGGAACGUAGUGCCCAUGAACGAAAGGUUCUGAUCCUCCGUGAAGUGGUUCUCUUCAUAUAGAGCUUUAGCCUGCUCCUUGUGGCCACCGUAUAAAGAGGUGGCCAUCCAGCAACUGGGAUUGAACCACGCACCGUCUAUUGUCAAGCCAGUUGUCUUACCCACUAGGCCACAGCUGCGGUUUUUCUCAGAAUUCUGCAAACUGUGCAUUACGGUUCCCCGGCGGCGAGACAUGUGGACUGCGUGCCUGGGCUCGACACAGCAACAUCAGCACUGACCGACUGCACUGUUCCCGAUAAACCCUGCGUCAUAAUGCCUUUUCUGAUACCGAUCACAACUACGCCAUGUCACGUGGUCCAUUUUCCGGCUGUGAGAAAUCCAUCAAGCCAGCUCUUCAUCAGUGGGCUCGGCAGCAGCACUGGCAGCAACAUGCUUAGAAACCCGCUUUCCUUCGCUGUCCAGGUUGACCAUCAAAACAGAGUGGGCAGGUGUCGUUGAGGAGCCCGAAGGCAGCCAUGCAAGCCUUUAGCUCAGUGUGGCCCAGCACACCUAGUGGGACAGCACCAGGAAUGCCACUGCACCCACAGUUGUGCCCCAAGAAAUUGUAGGGAGUGUGAAGACAAUGUCCUUGCCGCUCCUGGUGCUUUGACCCAUGACGUGACUGGGAUGUUCACCAGAGCUGUUUGCCAGUUGCUGCUGUGAAUAUAGCACAGUUCUGUUGUUGCUGUCACAGCCACUUCCUAGCCCAUGUGUCUGCAAGCUCAUCGGCUCCAUCCAUCCCAGACUUGAUGUAUGUGCAGUACAAGUUAGCGAGCACAUGCGGAGACUGGCAGGUAGCCAGAGUGGUAGCAGAUAUUAUAAGCAAUAGCACUGUUAAAACUGUUCGCUGUGAUGCCUGUGCCUGGAAAUUAUUGCAUUAAAAACCAGCUACACUUUAAAAAA